GGCCUCCAUCUUGAAAACGGAAAAUAAAAACAGCAGACCUAUGAAGGUCGAAGGGGAAGAAAAGCUGUAUCGAUUGUUGAGAUCUGGCGACUUGUUUAAAUUUCAUCAGCCUCACUUCUAUGAACUCUCAGAGCUGAUUACCAACUCCUACCACUGUUAACCCUCAUCCAGGAACAAGCUUAUGUCUUUAACAUUCUGAGUGGGCUUCAGCAUCCUUGCAUAUGUUCAAUUCUUAAAAACCUGUUGAAAUAAAAGAUCAGGAGACAUAGGAAGGAUGCCAGAAGAGAGCGUGGCCUCACGUGUACCAGCUCUCUGCUCUCCUUUGCCUUGGGACGUUCCAUCCCUGGAAGUUUCCCUGCCCACAUCUUUGUAGAGAGUCCAUUCUCCAAGCUUCAGUGUGUCAUCUGUGAGGACCGUGACCCACCUGGUACAUCGCCUCAGGGCAUUCAUUUCAGGCUCCUUCUAAAUGGCCAAGUUUUCAAGAUUGUUUUGGCUCUAGCAAAACAAGUUGGAACAUUCACAUCAUCCAAGACAACACCAACAUUUUUGUAAUGGCCUGCAAGGCCUUCCGAGAUCUACCUCCUGCAACUCAGCUUCUCCUGUGCUCUCCUUCUGGACUCACUCUGCCUCAGCAACACUGGUCCCUGUUGCCCCACCAAUAUGCCAGGUAAACCUCAGGUUCUCCUCCUGCCUUUUGCUAAGUAUAUGUCUUGAUGACAAGCCUUCUGCUGAUGAGCUGUGUUUCUGGACCGAUCAUGGUAGAAGUCAAUUAACGUGUCCCUCACUUGGGGUUUCUCAAGGCUGCACUGAUGAGGAAACUGAAACAGAAAAUCCAGAGUAAAUUCCACCAGGCCACACAGCAAGGUCUGAUAGAGCCAGGAGAGACUUUAUGAAAUCCAGACUCUCACACUAAUGCUCUAUCAGCUAGACCUCCAUGUGAGUCUCCCCAAUGUAGGUAGGAAGUGCUUUCCCUAAAAUGCUCAUAAAGCAAAUCAGAGCAAUGCUGCAUUCCAUGUGAUUUCUAAUUUGAAAUGCAAACAAUUGCCAAUUUGUUUGACUUGUAUUUAUAAUUAUUUCCUUGUGAAUUACUCAUCACUAAAUGCUUUAUAAAUAUUUUCUCUUUUUUUCCUCAAUGUCUAUGGAAUGAUCACAGCAUAGAAAAUGUUGGCUUUCAAGGAUUUAUUAAUAUCUCCUUUUGAAAUAACAUGUAUUUG
rnacentral:lncRNA from 1 species